rnacentral:rRNA from 1 species
CAGCCGCCGCGGUAAUACGAAGGGUGCAAGCGUUACUCGGAAUUACUGGGCGUAAAGCGUGCGUAGGUGGUGGUUUAAGUCCGUUGUGAAAGCCCUGGGCUCAACCUGGGAAUUGCAGUGGAUACUGGGUCACUAGAGUGUGGUAGAGGAUAGUGGAAUUUCCGGUGUAGCAGUGAAAUGCGUAGAGAUCGGAAGGAACAUCUGUGGCGGAGGCGACUAUCUGGGCCAACACUGACACUGAGGCACGAAAGCGUGGGGAGCAAACAGGAUUAGAUACCCCCGUAGUCCCUGUCUCUUAUAA